ACUGAUGUGCUGAACAAAUUAAGACAGAAGCAUGCACUUCCAUCUGGUGAGGGUGCACCUUUUGGAGUGGAUAUCAACACUGGUGGAAUUGCAGAUUCAUUUGCCAAUUUUGUGUGGGAGCCAGCUGUUGUGAAGAUCAAUGCUAUAAAUGCUGCUACUGAGGCUGCAUGUCUUGUAUUGAGUGUGGAUGAGACAGUUAAGAACCCUAAGUCUGAAAGUGCUCAGGGGGAAGCUGCUGCAAGUGCUAUCGGUGGUAGAGGGCGUGGAGCUGCUUUUCGUGGUCGUGGACGGGGAAUGCGAAGGCGAUGAGCUUACUGGAUAUAAUUUAUUGGAAUUAUUACUAUACUUGUUAACGAGCAUCUUUUCAAAUUUUCUCCCCCUUGAUUUCAGUUGGUUUCACUGUAUCAUCACUCGAAUUAGAUUUCUUCCAUCUGCCUUUCCAACUUAGGAGCCGAAGUGGCCUUGUAAUUCGAUGUCAGAAGUUUUGUUGAUUGGUAACUUUUU
rnacentral:misc_RNA from 1 species